AGUGAACGCUGGCGGUAGGCCUAACACAUGCAAGUCGAACGGCAGCACAGUAAGAGCUUGCUCUUACGGGUGGCGAGUGGCGGACGGGUGAGGCAUACAUCGGAAUCUACUUUUUCGUGGGGGAUAACGUAGGGAAACUUACGCUAAUACCGCAUACGACCUACGGGUGAAAGCAGGGGAUCUUCGGACCUUGCGUGAUUGAAUGAGCCGAUGUCGGAUUAGCUAGUUGGCGGGGUAAAGGCCCACCAAGGCGACGAUCCGUAGCUGGUCUGAGAGGAUGAUCAGCCACACUGGAACUGAGACACGGUCCAGACUCCUACGGGAGGCAGCAGUGGGGAAUAUUGGACAAUGGGCGCAAGCCUGAUCCAGCCAUACCGCGUGGGUGAAGAAGGCCUUCGGGUUGUAAAGCCCUUUUGUUGGGAAAGAAAAGCAGCAGGUUAAUACCCCGCUGUUCUGACGGUACCCAAAGAAUAAGCACCGGCUAACUUCGUG
rnacentral:rRNA from 1 species